rnacentral:rRNA from 1 species
AGUGAACGCUGGCGGUAGGCCUAACACAUGCAAGUCGAACGGCAGCACAGUUAGUUCUUGCUCUUACGGGUGGCCAGUCGCGGACGGAUUAGGUCUACACCGGUCUCUACUUUUUCGUGGGGGCUAACGAAGGGGGACUUACGCUAAUACCGCAUCCGACCUACAGGUGAAAGACGGGCAUCCUCGGACCUUGCGCGAUUGCAUGAGCCGAUGUCGGAUUAGCUAGUUGGUGGGGUAAAGGCCUACCAAGGCGACGAUCCGUAGCUGGUCUGAGAGGAUGAUCAGCCACACUGGAACUGAGACACGGCCCAGACUCCUACGGGAGGCAGCAGUGGGGAAUAUUGGACAAUGGGCGAAAGCCUGAUCCAGCCAUACCGCGUGGGUGAAGAAGGCCUUCGGGUUGUAAAGCCCUUUUGUCGGGAAAGAAAAGCAUGAGGCUAAUACACUGGUGGGAUGACGGUACCCGAAGAAUAAGCACCGGCUAACUUCGUG